UACGAAGGGUGCAAACGUUGCUCGGAAUUAUUGGGCGUAAAGCGCACGUAGGCGGCUUGGCAAGUCGGAUGUGAAAUCCUUUGGCUCAACCAAAGAAGUGCAUCCGAAACUGCUGAGCUUGAGUACUAAAGAGGGUCGGCGGAAUUCCCGGUGUAGAGGUGAAAUUCGAUAGAUAUCGGGAGGAACACCGGGUGGCGAAGGCGGCGACCUGGGUAGAUACUGACGCUGAGGAGCGAAAGCCAGGGGAGCAAACGGGG
rnacentral:rRNA from 1 species